UAGAUAUUUGGUGAAAAUGAUGAAUUCUGGGGUGCUGACUCAUGUGAUCUGAAAAUGCCAUCCAUUUCCUGAUUCACCUUCAUGCCU
rnacentral:snoRNA from 1 species